ensembl:lncRNA
GCAGAUGGGAGCAGAGCGGUCCGGUCCCAGGGCUCGCUCGGGAGCGCGAACGGAGAGAGAAGAGACAGCGUAGAGCCUGCGGGGGAGGAUAAUCGAGAGCUGUAGGUCUUGAUAUCGCUUCCCACUCUGAGCACGAGGAGGAGGCUCGGGAUGCCAAUCUGGAAGGAACUCUGAGCUCAUGUGGUCAGGACAGCCUGGAGGGGUUGCUCGCUUUCCCAGCGCUUUGAGCGCUUCUCCCAAAAGUUCUGAUUUUCACAGAAGCACAGAAGAAUACAGUUUCUGCAUUCAAACGAUGAGGGUGGAAAACAAAGUCACCCUCAUUCAGUGAUUUCCCUCUGCCUUCGAGUCCUCCAUACAACAUUAGGAAAAAGCCAGGGACCUUCCUGGGACCACUGCCUUCUUUGGAGAAGGGUCGGUUCAGAGGUGUGGGCCGGAUUUUCACACUCAUCACAGGAACCUCAUGGCUGCCAUAAGAAAACAGACUGAAUACCUAAAUAAAUGAAUGGGGAGCACGGGGUCUGGUGACACAGAUUCCCCUGGGAAUAAAAGAAAGAGGCAAUUACUGUUCUCUCUCAGUCCAGUGAGAACGUGUAAAGGAACCAGCAAAGUGUCACGUCUUCUGCUAUCCCCUCGUGUAGACCAGACCAGAGAAGUGUAGAAAGGAAGAAAAUGCUACCACUGAAAAUAAUCCUUUUAAGUGCUAGGCUACAAGGCUGCAGCAAGCUGUGAUUGGUUCCUCUCACAGCAAAACCAACAGGGGAACGAAGGUAUCUGAAUAAGAGAUCCCCUUCUAAACAUACCAAUUCUCUUGUGCCUUUGGAUUGACAUCACUACCAGGAAUGAAGAUAAUCAAUUUGAGGGAGGGGGAAUAUGCUAAACACUUGAGAUUGUGUCCAGCUCUUAAGAUACCUGCAUUCCUUGUUUAUUUCUUUGUUUUAUAUCCUUUUGAUCAGUAGCUUAGAAAAAGAACAGAAAAUAGUCAUACAAUAAUGCCUUGCAGCCUGUGGCAUAUUCCAUUUCAGGAUCCUAACAAAAGGUCUGUAGGCAUGUAAGAAUAGUUUCAGUCUAAGUUUAGUUCAGUCUGGAAAAGCUUUUUAGUUCCCUGUAAUAAAAUGGAGCAAAUUAGUUUGAACAAGAAAGAGUAACAACACAAGUAGUGCUUGAGGGAUCUAGGAAGGCAGGCAGCGAGAUCCUUCAGUUAGCCAAGUCUGGCAAUUAACUCACCAAUUAACUCACAAAAAAGACUUCUACGGGUUUCACAGUGACCAACAGACCCUGCCAGUGGGGUCUCCUAGUCUUCAGGGUAUGGCAGGUAAGCUCUGAGGAAUCCUAGUGGUCAUCACAGGCUUUCUCUGGGCCUUCUGUGAUCACUACUGCCUCAGCAGGGAGCAGCAAGGGCUGUGUGCUGGCACGUCGGCUGCUCCAAUUUGUAGCCCAGCAUAUAAUUCCAAAUGUAGCUUGUCAGCAGUUUGCACUAAGAAACUUCUCUGAGGCUGGAGUACACUCUCCUCCUGGUCAGCUCCUCUAGCACCAUUAUAACCUUUCCAAGCACCAGAGCAGGCUUGCCCAAGGGGCUGGAACUUUUGCUUUGUUUCAAGGCUGAAACUGAUCAUAGACCAUGGAAUAUUUCUGUUAUCUAAAAUAUGCAUCUACGGUUCACUGCUUUCUUUGAGUCAACAGCAAAAUAAUAAUAACAAUAAUAAUAAUUUUAAAAAAUCAACAAAUUUUACUGGAAGCACAUCCACAGUAUUUUUUUAUGUGGCUACUAAGUAUUGAUGCCGGAAAGUUGCUGGAAAUUAAGUGUGUAAUUAAUGCUAAGAACUGCAUUUUGACAGUUUUUAGUCUGAAGAACUCUCUUCCUCUGGUGUUAAAGGAGCCUGCUAGUGAUCUAACUUUUGCAUACGGAAGGAUGUGCAAGCCGCAGAUUGCGAGAGCACUACCCUGCUUAGUCUAGGGAGAGAAUACAGAUUGUUAUUAUUUAGAUGGUAGAGAGGAAAAAUCAUCUCCCCCAGUGUGGUAGUGAUGCUCUUCUGUUAAGGUGCUGUUGGACACCUUUGCUUCAAGGGAGGUAUUGCUGUUCUAUGACUGAUUUGUUGUCCACCAGGACCUGAAGUCAUUCUCCCCAGGGCUGCCUUCCAGCUGGUUGCUCCCCAGCCUCUCCUGGUGCAUGUGUUCCACCGCAGAUGAAGGACUUUGCAUUUCCCUUUGUUGAACUUCAGGAGAUUCUGCUGGCCCAUUCCUGCAGCCUGCCCAGGUCUCUCUAGAAUCAGACCCACAGUUACACGCCAGGCCUAAGAAACUGACAGACUUUCUUCUUCUAGAUAGAAUAGGGCUAAGAAAGUUGAUGGAAGUGUGUAUGGGGUAAGUAGAGAAAAACUGGUUGUCGAUGACACUCCUUAUUCUGAACACUUAAAGCCUUAGCUGCGCUGUUCUAAGCAUCGCUGUUUGAUUAUGUAAUGCUUAGGGGGUUGUUUCUGCUUUUGGACUGGGUAGACAAAAACUUUACACUGUGAGAAAAGCCAGAAAGGGGCAUGAGAGCAACGCUCAUAGGAAAAUGCAGUCAGUGAUUUUCUUUUAUGUCUAGAAAAUUGUAAAUAACCGUAGCAAUAUCUGUUCUGCCUUUGCACAGCUAUGCACAAAAAGCUCACUGGGACCACUCACAUCAUUUUCAGUCGUUAUCAGCCAUAGCCAGUGGCAGAGAGUAUCUGCAACAUGCGUGCUUUGCAACAUCUUCAAAUGCAGGCAUCUGUAAACUGAGAUUCCCUUUCUGAAAGCUGGUAUGUGAUUAAAGCAUGGUUGUUGGAAUGUCUCUGACUGCUUUAAAGUAAUCUAAAGGCUCGUAUAAUGGAUUAAAAAGAUUCCUUUUGUGUUCGAACAAAUACACAUGAUAUUGAGAAGCAUUUUCCUGACUGCUCUAGAGUGCAGUAAGCAAGAGAGAAACACUUCACUAUGCUUGCUAUACAAGGAGUCCAGAAUGGUCACAGCAGAGGUAAAUGCCUAUGCUGUAGACAUAGAUGUGCAAGAAGUGAAGUUAGAUUAAUCUACUACAUAACCACAGACAAGCCAAUUACUUACUAUCUCAGGCUAGGGCCACAUUCCAAAAUUUUGCCUGUGUUAAUGACAGGAAGCAGUGCUUUACUGUCCCUGGACACAGGGGCCUGGGCACCCUGCUCUGGGUGGCACCAAAGGGGCAGUGGUUGGACCAGCUGGACCAGAGGUACUUCCAACCUCAGCCAGUCUGUGAUCCUGUGACAAACGUGUUCUGGUUGUGUCCUCAACUAAAUUACACCUGCCAACUUUGCCAUGUAUGUGCAAUUCUGAAGUGCAAGAAAACUUGCCAAGUUUACUAACAGUUUAUGCUGUUGAAGAAGAUGCCUUACAUGUAUCAGUGAGAGUCCUUUGUGCUGGUGUACACUGUGCACAGCACUGUGCUUUCUGUAGAAAAACUUGGACGUCAACACCUUUGCAGAGCUGGUACAACAACAAAGAAGUUCAUGUCAACAGAACAUUCUGUGAGGCACAGUGUGUAUUUGUAGAACUAAAGACCUUCAGCAACAAAGGUAUUUUCUGGGAUAGAAGUUACAACUGAGACCACGGUGAUCUCAACAGUAGUUUUUGCAACCGGCGUGGCCUUUCAUGAAGACUUUCUGGCAGUUUACUCUGAUGGGACCCUCCCAGAAGAGCAACAUUGGUACACACACGCUCACAUGAAAGGACCCAAUCUUUAAGGCAUUAACCAAACCUUCCUGGCGCUGCAGGGCUGAGUUUCACAGAGUAAAUGCAAAGGCCACAAAGGGAAGCUAUUGAGAAAAUGGGUCAUUCACUACUCUUUUAAAUAAAAUGAUUUGACAUUUGAUGUCCCUGAAGUCUAUGCCACUUAGCCAACAUAUAUGUAAAGUGUACAUUUAUGUGUAUGUAUCUGCAAGUUUGUGUGCCUACACAUGUAUGUACAUACAGUUUGGUUACUUCAUUUUCCUCGACCAAGGGAAAGGAGUAGCUGAACUGUAGCAGUUAUUGCAGCGUAGAGGAACUUUCAGAACAACGUGAUUAUACAAGCUAAGUGGAGUUUUCCUUUUUGACAGUGUGGUAAUUAAGAAAUACCCAUAUGGUGAUCUGGGGAAUCCCAUUCCCUUACUACAGACCGCUGUGAAGCAGUCUGGAGUUUCACAUGUUGUGUGACAAUUAUGAAAUAACUGUGAAUUACUAUAUAAUAUAAAGGGGCACAAUCAGUCAAACGACAGAUGAGUUGACUGCAGUGAUGGCAUAUGCAAAAGCAGCUGCAUAAUGUUCUCUUUUACCCACAAGUACGGUGAAAAAACUUAAUGUAGUGUCAUGAAGUUCUGCAGCCCCAUGUUAGCUCUCUUAAAUUAUGAACUGUUCCACGCUUGUGCCUUUAAGCUGUAGAUUUCAGACAUGCUUAUGUGUGGGGGUAAUAAAGAGAUUUGUUUCAAG